CAGGAAGUUUUUAAGGGAGUCCUGACUGAACGCUGUGUGGACAGAUCAGCUGAUGAAAACUUCCUGCCUGAGUAAAGGAGGAUCACACCACAGGCGAUACUUCACCUAUACUGCGAGGACCUAUCUGUCUUUUCUGUCUAGAAAUACUGAGAGUGAGAUUACUGCAACAUCUGUCACCUACAGCGUUCUCAGAUUGGGCUGGAACAGGAAAUAAGAAAAGUCUCACAAGUUUCCAAGUGCUUUAGUCAUUCUGUAAGAGCUUGUAAAGUUGUGGAAGACCCAGAGGAAAAAAAGAAAACAAACCAGGAAAGGCCAGCUUGAUGAAACCCCGUUCUGGCCACAGAUGUAGGUGGGUAAAACAAAAAUAAAGGACCUGUUUACAAAG